rnacentral:rRNA from 1 species
UUGCCAGACUCCUACGGGAGGCAGCAGUGAGGAAUAUUGGUCAAUGGACGAGAGUCUGAACCAGCCAAGUAGCGUGAAGGAUGACUGCCCUAUGGGUUGUAAACUUCUUUUAUAAAGGAAUAAAACGAGGCACGUGUGCCUUUUUGCAUGUACUUUAUGAAUAAGGAUCGGCUAACUCCGUGCCAGCAGCCGCGGUAAUACGGAGGAUCCGAGCGUUAUCCGGAUUUAUUGGGUUUAAAGGGAGCGUAGAUGGGUUGUUAAGUCAGUUGUGAAAGUUUGCGGCUCAACCGUAAAAUUGCAAUUGAUACUGGCAGUCUUGAGUACAGUUGAGGUAGGCGGAAUUCGUGGUGUAGCGGUGAAAUGCUUAGAUAUCACGAAGAACCCCGAUUGCGAAGGCAGCCUGCCGCAGCGUUACUGACGCUGAAGCUCGAAAGCGCGGGUAUCGAACAGGAUUAGAUACCCUCGUAG